CUGUUAACUAAUGGCAGCCCUACAAGACAGGAUGAUACACUGGCCUGUCUGUCAGGGCGUUCGGAGUCUGAAGGCCCUGUGCAAAGCCAGUAGGUGACAUCAUAAACCUUUUUAGAGCAGACUAAACAUGACAUGUCAGCACCCAGGAAAUGGGGCAUUUUUUUCAAAAGUGCCUUAAAUCAUUAACAGGAUUCGUUACUCAGCAUCUCAGCAUCUUAGGCC